rnacentral:rRNA from 1 species
AUUGAACGCUGGCGGCAGGCCUAACACAUGCAAGUCGAGCGGAUGAGGGGAGCUUGCUUCUCGAUUCAGCGGCGGACGGGUGAGUAAUGCCUAGGAAUCUGCCUGGUAGUGGGGGACAACGUUUCGAAAGGAACGCUAAUACCGCAUACGUCCUACGGGAGAAAGCAGGGGACCUUCGGGCCUUGCGCUGUCAGAUGAGCCUAGGUCGGAUUAGCUAGUUGGUGAGGUAAUGGCUCACCAAGGCGAAGAUCCGUAACUGGUCUGAGAGGAUGAUCAGUCACACUGGAACUGAGACACGGUCCAGACUCCUACGGGAGGCAGCAGUGGGGAAUAUUGGACAAUGGGCGAAAGCCUGAUCCAGCCAUGCCGCGUGUGUGAAGAAGGUCUUCGGAUUGUAAAGCACUUUAAGUUGGGAGGAAGGGUUGUAGAUUAAUACUCUGCAAUUUUGACGUUACCGACAGAAUAAGCACCGGCUAACUCUGUGCCAGCCGCCGCCGUAACAC